UACGUAGGUGGCAAGCGUUGUCCGGAUUUACUGGGCGUAAAGAGCGCGCAGGCGGUCGAUUAAGUCGAAUGUGAAAGCCCCCGGCUUAACUGGGGAGGGUCAUUCGAUACUGAUCGACUUGAAGGCAGGAGAGGGAAGCAGAAUUCCCGGUGUAGUGGUGAAAUGCGUAGAUAUCAGGAGGAACACCAAUUGCGAAGGCAGCUCGCUGGGACGUAACUGACGCUGAGACGCGAAAGCGUGGGGAGCAAACAGG
rnacentral:rRNA from 1 species